rnacentral:lncRNA from 1 species
GUCCAAAAACUGUUUCGUUUAGGAUUGGUGAUGAGAAAAUAGCGUGCAAUAGGCAGAAAAUUGCCGGUCUUUCAGCUCCAUUUCAUGCCAUGCUCAAUGGUUGUUUUACAGAAUCGUUAUGCGAGGAAAUAGAUUUGUCUGAAAACGAUAUUUCACCAUUGGCGAUGAGGGUGAUCAGUGAAUUCAGCUCAACCGCUUUAUUGGAUGAAAUAUCUGCCGAUCGAAAAUGAUAUUUCACCAUCGGCGAUGAGGAUGAUCAGUGAAUUCAGCUCAACCGGUUUAUUGGAUGAAAUAUCUGCUGAACUUCUGUUGGAAAUAUUGGUAUUUGCCAAUAAGUUUU